CUACGGGCGGCUCCAGUGGGGAAUAUUGCACAAUGGGGGAAACCCUGAUGCAGCAACGCCGCGUGGAGGAUGACGCAUUUCGGUGUGUAAACUCCUUUUAUAUCCCAAGAUAAUGACGGUAGGAUAUGAAUAAGCACCGGCUAACUCCGUGCCAGCAGCCGCGGUAAUACGGAGGGUGCAAGCGUUACUCGGAAUCACUGGGCGUAAAGGGCGCGUAGGCGGGUUGUCAAGUCUUGAGUGAAAUCCAACGGCUCAACCGUUGAACUGCUUGAGAAACUGGCAGCCUAGAGUAAGGGAGAGGUAGAUGGAAUUGGUGGUGUAGGGGUAAAAUCCGUAGAGAUCACCAGGAAUACCCAUUGCGAAGGCGAUCUGCUGGAACUUUACUGACGCUGAGGCGCGAAAGCGUGGGGAGCAAACAGGAUUAGAUACCCUCGUAGUC
rnacentral:rRNA from 1 species